rnacentral:rRNA from 1 species
UACCAGCUCUUCGAGUGGUGUGGAUGUUUAUUGGGCCUAAAGCAUCCGUAGCUGGCUGGGCAAGUCCCCUGUUAAAUCCACCGAUUUAAUCGUUGGAGUGCGGGGGAUACUGUUCGGCUAGGGGACGGGAGAGGCAGACGGUAUUUUCGGGGUAGGGGUGAAAUCCUAUAAUCCCGGGAAGACCACCAGUGGCGAAGGCUGUCUGCUAGAACGCACCCGACGGUGAGGGAUGAAAGCUGGGGGAGCGAACCGGAUUAGAUACCCGGGUAGUCCCAGCUGUAAACGAUGCAGGCUAGGUGUUUGGGCGGCCACGUGCCGCUCUAGUGCCGCAGGGAAGCCGUUAAGCCUGCCGCCUGGGGAGUACGGCCGCAAGGCUGAAACUUAAGGAAUUGGCGGGGAGCACCACAAGGGUGAAGCUUGCGGUUU